GGGCUUAGGAUAAUUCCUCAGACCAA
rnacentral:tRNA from 1 species